rnacentral:rRNA from 1 species
GACGAACGCUGGCGGCGUGCCUAAUACAUGCAAGUAGAACGCUGAAGAGAGGAGCUUACUCUUCUUGGAUGAGUUGCGAACGGGUGAGUAACGCGUAGGUAACCUGCCUUGUAGCGGGGGAUAACUAUUGGAAACGAUAGCUAAUACCGCAUAACAAUGGAUGACACAUGUCAUUUAUUUGAAAGGGGCAAUUGCUCCACUACAAGAUGGACCUGCGUUGUAUUAGCUAGUAGGUGAGGUAAUGGCUCACCUAGGCGACGAUACAUAGCCGACCUGAGAGGGUGAUCGGCCACACUGGGACUGAGACACGGCCCAGACUCCUACGGAAGGCAGCAGUAGGGAAUCGUCGGCAAUGGGGGCAACCCUGACCGAGCAACGCCGCGUGAGUGAAGAAGGUUUUCGGAUCGUAAAGCUCUGUUGUAAGUCAAGAACGGGUGUGAGAGUGGAAAGUUCACACUGUGACGGUAGCUUACCAGAAAGGGACGGCUAACUACGUG